rnacentral:rRNA from 1 species
CAGUCGCCACGGUAACACGAAGGGUGCAAGCGUUAAUCGGAAUUACUGGGCGUAAAGCGCGCGUAGGUGGUUUGCUAAGUUGGAUGUGAAAUCCCCGGGCUCAACCUGGGAACUGCAUUCAAAACUGACUGACUAGGGUAUGGUAGAGGGUGGUGGAAUUUCCUGUGUAGCGGUGAAAUGCGUAGAUAUAGGAAGGAACACCAGUGGCGAAGGCGACCACCUGGACUAAUACUGACACUGAGGUGCGAAAGCGUGGGGAGCAAACAGGAUUAGAUACCCCUGUAGUCCCUGUCUCUUAUAC